rnacentral:rRNA from 1 species
GACGAACGCUGGCGGCGUGCCUAAUACAUGCAAGUCGAGCGGACAGAAGGGAGCUUGCUCCCGGAAGUUAGCGGCGGACGGGUGAGUAACACGUGGGCAACCUACCCUGUAGAUCGGGAUAACAUCGAGAAAUCGGUGCUAAUACCGGAUAAUCAUUUGAAGUGCAUGCUUCGAAUGUAAAAGAUGGCUCCGGCUAUCACUACGGGAUGGGCCCGCGGCGCAUUAGCUAGUUGGUAAGGUAAUGGCUUACCAAGGCAACGAUGCGUAGCCGACCUGAGAGGGUGAUCGGCCACACUGGGACUGAGACACGGCCCAGACUCCUACGGGAGGCAGCAGUAGGGAGUCUUCCGCAAUGGACGAAAGUCUGGCGGAGCAACGCCGCGUGAGUGAUGAAGGUUUUCGGAUCGUAAAGCUCUGUUGUUAGGGAAGAACAAGUGCCGUUUGAAUAAGGCGGCACCUUGACGGUACCUAACCAGAAAGCCACGGCUAACUACGUGCCAGCAGCCGCGGUAAUAC